rnacentral:rRNA from 1 species
GACGAACGCUGGCGGCGUGCUUAACACAUGCAAGUCGAACGGAAAGGCCCUGCUUUUGUGGGGUGCUCGAGUGGCGAACGGGUGAGUAACACGUGAGUAACCUGCCCUUGACUUUGGGAUAACUUCAGGAAACUGGGGCUAAUACCGGAUAGGAGCUCCUGCUGCAUGGUGGGGGUUGGAAAGUUUCGGCGGUUGGGGAUGGACUCGCGGCUUAUCAGCUUGUUGGUGGGGUAGUGGCUUACCAAGGCUUUGACGGGAGCCGGCCUGAGAGGGUGACCGGCCACAUUGGGACUGAGAUACGGCCCAGACUCCUACGGGAGGCAGCAGUGGGGAAUAUUGCACAAUGGGCGGAAGCCUGAUGCAGCAACGCCGCGUGCGGGAUGACGGCCUUCGGGUUGUAAACCGCUUUCGCCUGUGACGAAGCGUGAGUGACGGUAAUGGGUAAAGAAGCACCGGCUAACUACGUGCCAGCAGCCGCGGUGAUACGUAGGGUGCGAGCGUUGUCCGGAUUUAUUGGGCGUAAAGGGCUCGUAGGUGGUUGAUCGCGUCGGAAGUGUAAUCUUGGGGCUUAACCCUGAGCGUGCUUUCGAUACGGGUUGACUUGAGGAGGGUAGGGGAGAAUGGAAUUCCUGGUGGAGCGGUGGAAUGCGCAGAUAUCAGGAGGAACACCAGUGGCGAAGGCGGUUCUCUGGGCCUUUCCUGACGCUGAGGAGCGAAAGCGUGGGGAGCGAACAGGCUUAGAUACCCUGGUAGUCCACGCUGUAAACGGUGGGUACUAGGUGUGGGGUCCAUUCCACGGGUUCCGUGCCGUAGCUAACGCUUUAAGUACCCCGCCUGGGGAGUACGGCCGCAAGGCUAAAACUCAAAGGAAUUGACGGGGCCCCGCACAAGCGGCGGAGCAUGCGGAUUAAUUCGAUGCAACGCGUAGAACCUUACCUGGGUUUGACAUGGAUCGGGAGCGCUCAGAGAUGGGUGUGCCUCUUUUGGGGUCGGUUCACAGGUGGUGCAUGGCUGUCGUCAGCUCGUGUCAUGAGAUGUUGGGUUAAGUCCCGCAACGAGCGCAACCCUUGUUCACUGUUGCCAGCACGUUAUGGUGGGGACUCAGUGGAGACCGCCGGGGUCAACUCGGAGGAAGGUGGGGAUGACGUCAAGUCAUCAUGCCCCUUAUGUCCAGGGCUUCACGCAUGCUACAAUGGCUGGUACAGAGAGUGGCGAGCCUGUGAGGGUGAGCGAAUCUCGGAAAGCCGGUCUUAGUUCGGAUUGGGGUCUGCAACUCGACCUCAUGAAGUCGGAGUCGCUAGUAAUCGCAGAUCAGCAACGCUGCGGUGAAUACGUUCCCGGG